CCGCUUGGCAAAGAGUAACUCAUUUUAAUGCCUCUCGCUACCCCUGGCCCUAGUUUUGAAGGAAUCAUGCGACACACUCGCACUCCACUACCCCAUCCCAUGGAAAAACGCUCCCACCAUCGAGGUGUUGACCAAAAUUUCGCUUUGUGCAUGAGACACACACUAGCACUCCUCCAGCCCUCCACAGCUGAACGCUCCCACCGUUGCGAAUUUGCGAGAAUUUUUGCUAUGAGCGUGAGACCCUGAAGCGCCAGAGAUGACACUAUGUGUAAAGACGAUCAUAAUUCGAUAUGGUCAAAAUGCGUCGUUUGUCGUUUCAUUUAUCUGGUAAUGAUGUUUUCACUUCAUCAAAAUUUUAAACAUUAACAACUAGGCUGAUAACAAUAGUUGAAAUGUAAAUCAGAAUAAAAUCAAUUCAUUUGAAGUAAAAUAAAUUCCAUUAUACUUUAUUUUGACCAUAUGAUCAACACUUGUACAUAGUGCCAUUUACUUUGUGUUCUUCACUCUCGCGUUGUGUUUUGAUCGUUCGAAACUCAUUGCCAGAACGAAUGCAAAUUUCAUUUGGGAAGGAUCGGUGCCGGAAGAUGCAGUGAAAAUUAUAAAAUGUUUAUAUAAAAGUGGUUAAGUAAAUCGUGAAAGAUGUAAACGCAGGCGUAACUGCAGUUUGUUCUGUUACAUGAUCUACGGCUAUUUCAUUGCCAAAGCACCUGAUAACCGUUCAAAGAAGGUGAAUUGGGCUUACAGAGUCGCCAUUUAACUUCAAUAUAUUCGUGAUCGGAAAACGCAUCAAACAACAAGUGUUUUUCUUCCAACAGCACGCGCCAUCGGUGGAGCAAGCAGCCAACGAUUUGAUCGCCAAUACGCGCCAUCAAGUAUUAUAAUAUUCCCGAAUAGCUCUGAGAAUAAAAAACUGCACACUUACUGUCCGAA